rnacentral:rRNA from 1 species
GACGAACGCUGGCGGCGUGCUUAACACAUGCAAGUCGAACGGAAAGGCCCUGCUUUUGUGGGGUGCUCGAGUGGCGAACGGGUGAGUAACACGUGAGUAACCUGCCCUUGACUUUGGGAUAACUUCAGGAAACUGGGGCUAAUACCGGAUAGGAGCUCCUGCUGCAUGGUGGGGGUUGGAAAGUUUCGGCGGUUGGGGAUGGACUCGCGGCUUAUCAGCUUGUUGGUGGGGUAGUGGCUUACCAAGGCUUUGACGGGUAGCCGGCCUGAGCGGGUGACCGGCGACAUUGGGACUGAGGUACGGCCCAGACUGCUACGUUAGGCAGCAGUGGGGAAUAUUGCACAAUGAGCGGAAGCGUGAUACAGCAGCGCCGCGAGCGUGAUGACGGCCUUCGAGUUGUAAACCGCUUUCGCCUGUGACGAAGCGUGAGUGACGGUAAUGGGUAAAGAAGCAACGGCUAACUACGUG